rnacentral:rRNA from 1 species
AGCGAACGCUGGCGGCAGGCCUAACACAUGCAAGUCGAGCGCCGUAGCAAUACGGAGCGGCAGACGGGAGAGUAACACGUGGGAACGUACCCUUUGGUUCGGAACAACCCAGGGAAACUUGGGCUAAUACCGGAUAAGCCCUUACGGGGAAAGAUUCAUCGCCGAAGGAUCGGCCCGCGUCUGAUUAGCUAGUUGGUGGGGUAAUGGCCCACCAAGGCGACGAUCAGUAGCUGGUCUGAGAGGAUGAUCAGCCUCACUGGGACUGAGACACGGCCCAGACUCCUACGGGAGGCAGCAGUGGGGAAUAUUGGACAAUGGGCGCAAGCCUGAUCCAGCCAUGCCGCGUGGGUGAUGAAGGCCCUAGGGUUGUAAAGCCCUUUCGGCGGGGAAGAUAAUGACGGUACCCGCAGAAGAAGCCCCGGCUAACUUCGUGC